rnacentral:rRNA from 1 species
CACGAACCGUACGAACGUUUAUUCGGAAUUACUGGGCUUAAAGGGUUUGUAGGCGGCCAUGUAAGUCAGGUGUGAAAUCCCUCGGCUCAACCGAGGAACGGCGCUUGAUACUGCAUGGCUUGAGGGAGACAGGGGUAAGCGGAACUGAUGGUGGAGCGGUGAAAUGCGUUGAUAUCAUCAGGAACACCGGUGGCGAAAGCGGCUUACUGGGUCUCUUCUGACGCUGAGGAACGAAAGCUAGGGUAGCGAACGGG